AGCGAACGCUGGCGGCAGGCCUAACACAUGCAAGUCGAGCGGCCGUAGCAAUACGGCAGCGGCAGACGGGAGAGUAACACGUGGGAACGUGCCCAUCGGUUCGGAACAACCCAGGGAAACUUGGGCUAAUACCGGAUACGCCCUAACGGGGAAAGAUUUAUCGCUGAUGGAGCGGCCCGCGUCUGAUUAGCUAGUUGGUGAGGUAACGGCUCACCAAGGCGACGAUCAGUAGCUGGUCUGAGAGGAUGAUCAGCCUCACUGGGACUGAGACACGGCCCAGACUCCUACGGGAGGCAGCAGUGGGGAAUAUUGGACAAUGGGCGCAAGCCUGAUCCAGCCAUGCCGCGUGGAUGAUGAAGGCCCUAGGGUUGUAAAGUCCUUUCGGCGGGGAAGAUAAUGACGGUACCCGCAGAAGAAGCCCCGGCUAACUUCGUGCCAGCCGCCGCAGUAAUAC
rnacentral:rRNA from 1 species